UCGUUCCUUCCCACAGAUGAAAAAAUAUAACUGUAAAUACCUGUAUGAUAUACGUCUGGUGCAUUGCAGGUAAGAAUGGAUUGUGUGUGGCGCGCUUCACCGCAUGUGGACUAGAGUAGAUCUAGGAACAUCAGACAAGAAGACACGUAUGUGAAACCCUGCGGAUAGCCCAUAUGUGAACUUUUUUUCCAGAUACGGAGGAACGGACACCGGUCGUGCCGUGAGCACUAUUCUGCAGGGCAUACUUCCAAAUGAAGCUGCACUGCAGUUCAGCUGGAAAGGGUCGCAGGGGAGGAAGCACGCCUUCGUGAAGCUCAUGGCCAUCACGAAUAUAACAUCUGUGAGGAGCACGUUCCCUGACGCUUCACUAGCAUCAGUGGCUGGAGUCGCAAAACGCUGGUUGGUUGGAGCAGCUGACAGGGAUGGAGGCCGGAAUGAAAGAAGGCGCCGUGACCCUGCUUCAAGCCCACCAAAUAUGAACUAGUGUUUGAAACUUGUGAACGUGUCGGUGUACAUAUACAAUUACAAGAAAUAAAGACCUGU
rnacentral:misc_RNA from 1 species